rnacentral:rRNA from 2 species
GAGUUUGAUCGUGGCUCAGAUUGAACGCUGGCGGCAUGCCUUACACAUGCAAGUCGAACGGCAGCACGGGAGCUUGCUCCUGGUGGCGAGUGGCGAACGGGUGAGUAAUGCAUCGGAACGUAUCCUGGAGUGGGGGAUAACGUAGCGAAAGUUACGCUAAUACCGCAUAUUCUGUGAGCAGGAAAGCGGGGGACCUUCGGGCCUCGCGCUCUUGGAGCGGCCGAUGUCGGAUUAGCUAGUUGGUGAGGUAAAGGCUCACCAAGGCGACGAUCCGUAGCAGGUCUGAGAGGAUGAUCUGCCACACUGGAACUGAGACACGGUCCAGACUCCUACGGGAGGCAGCAGUGGGAAUUUUGGACAAUGGGGGCAACCCUGAUCCAGCCAUGCCGCGUGAGUGAAGAAGGCCUCGGUUGUAAGUAC